rnacentral:rRNA from 1 species
AACGCUAGCUACAGGCUUAACACAUGCAAGUCGAGGGGAAACGAUAUUGGAAGCUUGCUUCCGAUAGGCGUCGACCGGCGCACGGGUGAGUAACGCGUAUCCAACCUGCCCAUCACUUGGGAAUAACCUUGCGAAAGUAAGACUAAUGCCCAAUGAUAUUUAUAGAAGGCAUCGGAAAUGAAUUAAAGAUUUAUCGGUGAUGGAUGGGGAUGCGUCUGAUUAGCUUGUUGGCGGGGUAACGGCCCACCAAGGCGACGAUCAGUAGGGGUUCUGAGAGGAAGGUCCCCCACAUUGGAACUGAGACACGGUCCAAACUCCUACGGGAGGCAGCAGUGAGGAAUAUUGGUCAAUGGACGAGAGUCUGAACCAGCCAAGUAGCGUGCAGGAUGACGGCCCUAUGGGUUGUAAACUGCUUUUAUAAGGGAAUAAAGUGAGUCUCGUGAGACUUUUUGCAUGUACCUUAUGAAUAAGGACCGGCUAAUUCCGUGCCAGCAGCCGCGGUAAUACGGAAGGUCCGGGCGUUAUCCGGAUUUAUUGGGUUUAAAGGGAGCGUAGGCCGGAGAUUAAGCGUGUUGUGAAAUGUAGACGCUCAACGUCUGCACUGCAGCGCGAACUGGUUUCCUUGAGUACGCACAAAGUGGGCGGAAUUCGUGGUGUAGCGGUGAAAUGCUUAGAUAUCACGAAGAACUCCGAUUG